AAAACAUCUAUAAUGUUUAUUGUGUUUGUUUUCUCUUAAUAAAAUAUGGGAAAUAAAUUAACACAAUUAGUUCUUAUAUUUCCUAGAACACUUCCAAUCCUAAGAAUGGAUGAGGACAAAUUGCUAUGAUAUUUUUCUUCACACAAGACAUUCUCUGACUGCUGCCUGCUAGACAAUACUGAUUGAAUUGAACAAUUGUGGAGAUUCAACUGUUUUAAGUCCCCUGUUAUUUCUAUUAUAUAUUAAUGAUAUCUUUAAUGUUAUAAAUGAUUGUAAAAUAGAGUUUUUUGCUGACGA